rnacentral:lncRNA from 1 species
AAAACCCAAAUGCCACCACUGAAGCCCACUGCCUCCACCCUAAACCAAUGAUCAAAACCCAUCUUAAGACAAAUCAUAUCAGCUCGGAAGCCAUUAACUUGAGUCUCCACCAGAACUAAAAUGAAACGUUUAAAUAGAGCGCAAAAAUCAUGAAGGAUACAUUGGCUUCUCUUGCCCACAAUACCCUGUAUAUUCUAUGCUAAAAUAGACAUAAUACUAAGCAAUAAGGAAGAGAACACAACUAUCAUGUCACAAGUCAAGUCAAACAUUACCCUUAAAGAUAAAAGAGAACUAGGUUUGAAACCCCUUUUUAUAACAAUAUCACAAUCAUCCAUCAAAAGAGAUUCACAAACCUGAUGAGGAGCACCCUCAUUACUAAUAAGGAUAUUUAAAAUAUCCCGCAGGAUCCCAUGAUCAUGAGACAGUAAAGUUCUCGGAUCAUUAAUCAGAGAAUUGUUAGACACUUUACGGCAAUCAACUAUACCAAUUCCAGCCUUACCAACUACCACCACAUGAUCAUCAAGUUCAACUGCAGAGAUGGACUUUUUAGUCCUAUGAGGAUAGCAUGAAAAUGUACCUCCAGUAUCAGCAGACACAACCACAGGGGUAACUAGCCCAGAAUUAGCCUUAGAAACAGAUGGAACCAGCCUAGUCUCAGGAGUAGCAGAUUCCUGUCAUGCCUAACAGGGAUGAAAGAACAGGUACCAACCCGAGCUUUGGAUUGAAGGGAGUUCAUCAAUGGAGAACUCAAAGGAAUUGGCACACAUGCAACAUUAUCAUUGCUAGCAUCAUCCACUGGGGUGUUAUUUAAAACACCAAAUCGAUUAACAGCAGGAA